rnacentral:rRNA from 1 species
CGACCGGCGCACGGGUGAGUAACACGUAUCCAACCUGCCGUCUACUCUUGGCCAGCCUUCCGAAAGGAAGAUUAAUCCAGGAUGGCAUCGUGAGUUCACAUGUCCGCAUGAUUAAAGGUAUUUUCCGGUAGACGAUGGGGAUGCGUUCCAUUAGAUAGUAGGCGGGGUAACGGCCCACCUAGUCAACGAUGGAUAGGGGUUCUGAGAGGAAGGUCCCCCACAUUGGAACUGAGACACGGUCCAA